GUGCCAGCAGCCGCGGUAAUACGGAGGAUGCAAGCGUUAUCCGGAUUUAUUGGGUUUAAAGGGUGCGUAGGCGGACAGACAAGCGUGAGGUGAAAUGCCGUGGCUCAACCACGGAACUGCCUCGCGAACUGCCUGUCUGGAAUGACACUGCCGUGGGAGGAAUGUGUGGUGUAGCGGUGAAAUGCAUAGAGAUCACACAGAACACCGAUUGCGAAGGCAUCUCACGAAGUGUGAUUGACGCUGAGGCACGAAAGCGUGGGGAUCAAACAGGAUUAGAUACCCUGGUAGUCCACGCAGUAAACGAUGAUGACUAACCGCUGGUUCGUAAGGAUCAGUGGCCAAGCGAAAGCGAUAAGUCAUCCACCUGGGGAGUACGACCGCAAGGUUGAAACUCAAAGGAAUUGACGGGGGCCCGCACAAGCGGAGGAACAUGUGGUUUAAUUCGAUGAUACGCGAGGAACCUUACCCGGGCUCGAACGGCAGCUGAACGAUGCAGAGAUGCAAAGGUCCUUAGGGACGGCUGUCGAGGUGCUGCAUGGUUGUCGUCAGCUCGUGCCGUGAGGUGUCGGCUCAAGUGCCAUAACGAGCGCAACCCUUGCCGUCAGUUACCAUCAAGUAAUGUUGGGGACUCUGGCGGGACUGCCACCGCAAGGUGUGAGGAGGGGGGGGAUGACGUCAAAUCAGCACGGCCCUUACGUCCGGGGCGACACACGUGUUACAAUGGCGGUUACAGAGGGGACCUACCCGGUGACGGGAUGGAAAUCCAAAAAAGCCGCCUCAGUUCGGAUCGGAGUCUGCAACCCGACUCCGUGAAGCUGGAUUCGCUAGUAAUCGCGCAUCAGCCAUGGCGCGGUGAAUACGUUCCCGGACCUUGUACACACCGCCCGU
rnacentral:rRNA from 1 species